rnacentral:lncRNA from 1 species
UUGUUACUAAUAAUCAAUUGGAACCCCAAACCAUUGUAAUUUCAUGCAAACUACUUUUAAGCCAAGUAGGCUAGUUCAAGAAAACAUACAUAUGAGACAUCCUUGGUCAACACGCUGUAAUUAAAUAAGGAAUCAUAUAUUUCAUUCCCUGGAAAGUGUCCAUUUCCUGCUUAAUCUGACUAAGUAAGGGUGCAGUAACAAUAUGGCACACUACAAUGUUAUUAAUUGUACAAAGCAAAUCUCAUGAACCAUAAUAUAUUAACACCAAUUUCUAAAGCUCACUAUUGCUGAAGAAGCUUAUGUUACCAAGACAAAGAAAAUUGCAGAGGAGAAUGACGAGUCAUAGCAAUGGCAAACAGCCAACUCUGAUGUCCUGAACUCUGUCAUCAAUAAAAUUCAGCAGAUUAAGGUUCAGCUUGAAUUUAUGGCAAACUUUGAGAAAGCACCAGCUUAACUAGCAGAAUCAUUGGACUUGGAACUCUUGAACUUGAAGCAAAACCUGGCAGAACAUCUUUUGGAGAACAUGAAAAAAACCAACUCAUAGAUAGUUUAUGAAUCAUCUCAAUCCAACAAAUCAGUCAAUGAGACUUUGAGGCAACUUGAGGUUUCAAAAAGAACUUUAGAGAUCCUAAGGGAUGAUGCUGCAAAAUCUGUACAUAGCUCAAACAUCCAUAGGUGGACACAGUGCUGGAAUGAAACGUAAUUCAAAGAGAAAAUAGUCACUCAUGAAUUUCAGAGCAGAAUCUCAAGAGAUGGCAAUAAGAAGGUGUAAGUCAGAAGUUUCAGUUACACAAUCAACCUAAAUGACGCUAUUGAUGAGCAAUUUUAAUUGGAAUAAUCAGUAAAUCAAAUCAAUCAUCAGAGAAUAUCUUCGGUCCUAGCAGUUGUAGUAAGAAGUACAAACCAGAAGUCAUGGCCAUUGGCAUCUCCUAUUUCAGUUAUAGAUGCAAUAAUAAGCAUGAAUGAGCAAUCAUUAGGCAGUUUCAAAACACAAGGGUCAGGAUUAUUCCUGACUUUCAAUUAGCAACCCAAAGAGCACCACUACUCAGCUAUAAAAGGAGAGGCAUUACAACCACAAAAAGGGGGUUCACCACACGAAAAUUAAAGAAAACAGAGCAUAUAUGCAGUGCUGUAAGGAUAAACAACACAGUGAAAGAGGCCAAAUCCCCUCUCAAAAUUCUAACACUACAGCACCUUCUUAGUCAGAAUUUCUCAAUCAACCCACAUACAUGCACCUACUAAUCACGGAUACACCACGAUACAGAAAUCAGAGAGAGAGGAUUUCAGAGAAAAGGGCAGAAAUAUAGAUAAAGAGAGUAACAUUCGAAUAGAUUCAAUAUCAUACCAGUUCCAAGGAGCAAUCACUAUACACAUAUCUAAACAAAAGCAAUCUGAAUAUAGAGCUAUACAUCACAGGCGCCAUAAACCAAGAAGGCAGAGCAACACAAACUGAAAACAGUAAGCAAAAAGAAAUCACAGAGAGGUAUCAACAACCGGAAGACCAAGUUGGCGAUAGAGAACGGUGUGGAUAAUCUUGAAACACAGAAACAGAACGAGAAAUCAGGAACAGGAGAUUGGCUUUUACACAACAAAGGCUAAAGGUAUACCUCCAGGUAAUCCAUUUAUUCCUCUCAUUCAAGCAAUUAUAAACAGAAAAUGUUCUUCUUCAUCAUGUGUUCGGAGCAUCAAACUAGAUACAUAUGUUCAUCUAAACAGUUGUAAACAAGUAGCCCUCAAUCUAAUUUAAGUCAUAUAUAUCAAAUGAAAUGCAUACGGUGACUGAAACAUCUUGAAAGACAUUUCUAUGUUCUUUACAAGCCUACAACCAUGAAAUAAACUCAGAACUUUGCUAAAAAAUGGCUAGAAUGUCAGAUUCAAACAUAAGACAUAUUCACUCGGCUUCAACAGGGAUAAAUAUCCAUAAACAAGAAAUAGAUAGUAUAACACGAUAGCAUAAUUUCGGAUAAAUGCUCGGAUAAAUGCUUGCCGAGGUUAGUCACACUUAAUCAUCCAAUUUCAAGCCAAAAGGAUAAAAUAGAAAAGGAGCAGGGUUAGUUACUGGACCCAUUGCGUUGAUGCCGAUUCCGAAUCCCUAUCUCGUCUCGGUGACCACCGCGAGAACAAGGGAAUCAUAAAAGAAAAAUAAAAGAAGGAUAUGGUACCUUACGGGUUCUCCUCGCCUCCAUCCACCAUGAUAAACGGUGGUUCCCACCGUGGCUGCCGCCUUCAUCAAUCGAAGCCCUCACCGAAGAGGAAGGGAUGGAGGAGGUGAUUGUCCAUUCUUCAAGCCGCCAUCAUGAUCCUCACCUCCGCUGGAGAAUCACUCACCAUUGCCGCCUCUCACCGCCGUUAAUCACCUCUCUCCACUACCAUCGUGAAAGAAGCCAAGGGGGGAGAGGAUGAAAGAGGUAUAGUGUGUUAGGGAAAAUCCCUUUUGGGACUUUAGGUUCUAAACAACCCGUAUGCCCCCACCCCACUUAUUUUUG